rnacentral:rRNA from 1 species
AGAGACAGCAGUCGCCGCGGUAAUACGUAGGUGGCAAGCGUUGUCCGGAAUUAUUGGGCGUAAAGGGCUCGCAGGCGGUUUCUUAAGUCUGAUGUGAAAGCCCCCGGCUCAACCGGGGAGGGUCAUUGGAAACUGGGAAACUUGAGUGCAGAAGAGGAGAGUGGAAUUCCACGCGUAGCGGUGAAAUGCGUAGAGAUGUGGAGGAACACCAGUGGCGAAGGCGACUCUCUGGUCUGUAACUGACGCUGAGGAGCGAAAGCGUUGGGAGCGAACAGGAUUAGAUACCCCCGUAGUCCCUGUCUCUUAUAC